rnacentral:rRNA from 1 species
CCCUUAGACGUUCUGGGCCGCACGCGCGCUACACUGACCAGUGCAACAAGCAUCCGUCCUUGGCCGUCAGGCUCGGGCAAUCUUUGAACGCUGGUCGUGAUGGGGAUAGACUUUUGCAAUUUUUGGUCUUCAACGAGGAAUUCCUAGUAAACGCAAGUCAUCAACUUGCAUUGAUUACGUCCCUGCCCUUUGUACACACCGCCCGUCGCACCUACCGAUUGAAUGGUCCGGUGAAGCCUCCGGAUUGGCGCGCACCUCGGUGCCGCCGAGAAGUUGGCUAAACCUUACCAUUUAGAGGAAGGUGAAGUCGUAACA